AUUGAACGCUGGCGGCAGGCCUAACACAUGCAAGUCGGACGGUAGCACAGAGAGCUUGCUCUUGGGUGACGAGUGGCGGACGGGUGAGUAAUGUCUGGGGAUCUGCCCGAUAGAGGGGGAUAACCACUGGAAACGGUGGCUAAUACCGCAUAACGUCGCAAGACCAAAGAGGGGGACCUUCGGGCCUCUCACUAUCGGAUGAACCCAGAUGGGAUUAGCUAGUAGGCGGGGUAAUGGCCCACCUAGGCGACGAUCCCUAGCUGGUCUGAGAGGAUGACCGGCCACACUGGAACUGAGACACGGUCCAGACUCCUACGGGAGGCAGCAGUGGGGAAUAUUGCACAAUGGGCGCAAGCCUGAUGCAGCCAUGCCGCGUGUAUGAAGAAGGCCUUCGGGUUGUAAAGUACUUUCAGCGGGGAGGAAGGCGGUGAGGUUAAUAACCUCACCGAUUGACGUUACCCGCAGAAGAAGCACCGGCUAACUCCGUGCCAGCCGCCGCCGUAACAC
rnacentral:rRNA from 1 species